ACCUGCGGCUACAUCACCCUGCAACUCACAACCAGCAGCCCUCUGAAGCUCAGCAGGAGUGAGCCUGGUCAGUACCCGGAGGGGAGACCUCCUGGGAAAGCUAAGGCUGCUGCUGGAG
rnacentral:rRNA from 1 species